UACAGAGGUCUCAAGCGUUGUUCGGAUUCAUUGGGCGUAAAGGGUGCGUAGGUGGCGCUGUAAGUCGGGUGUGAAAUUUCGGAGCUUAACUCCGAAACUGCAUUCGAUACUGCGGUGCUUGAGGACUGGAGAGGAGACUGGAAUUCAUGGUGUAGCAGUGAAAUGCGUAGAGAUCAUGAGGAAGACCAGUGGCGAAGGCGGGUCUCUGGACAGUUCCUGACGCUGAGGCACGAAGGUCAGGGGAGGCAAACGGG
rnacentral:rRNA from 1 species